AGCGGCUCUGGCGCGGUGGUGGUGCGGUUGACGCUGGUGCCGUCGGUGUCGGUCAGCGUCACGGUGUUGAGGCCGUUCCAACUGCGGCUGUAA
rnacentral:tRNA from 1 species